CAACCACCUCUCAAACAACAACAAUGCCACGCUGCUGAAACUUCAGUUGGACGUUCGCUGCUAAUUUUGCUGUGGAUUAUUUUUAAGAUGUUUAUUCGUCGAAAUGUCACUGAGAGAACUACAGUUGCCAUCGCUGUUACACUCUGAAAGGCAAGAGUUAAGGACAUUUCAGAAUCGAUAACGUUUCUAACCUUGAUGACUAGAAGUGACUGCCUACAAUCCAAACAAGGCGACAGAAGUCAGUAACGUUAGUUAAGUGUAAAUAUCGCAUCUUUGUGAACAGAUCAGGGACAUGCUACCACUGCGAGGGAAGCUGGUGCUUGUGUCGAAACAGUGUGAAAAGAAGAUUCUGGACCAGAGAGUACAGGAAAGAGAUGAGAUCCGAACUCUGAAGCGAGAGAGUCAGCGUCUGCAGCGUGUCAUUGAGAGUAUGAGAGAACAACAGACUGCUCUGCAGAUUCAGAGGACGAAUCUGAGGAUCCUGUGGUGCUGAAAAUUGCUUUGCUGGUGUGUAGAGAGGAUCUUACCAAAGUCCAAGUUGAGCUUAACCGCCUGCAAGCCGAAUACAGUGAUGUGGUCCCACGACCAGACUACAUCAUAUUCAUGAGGAGACUUUAAUGAAGGACACAGAUGUAAGACAUGAAGUGUUCCUGAGUCUAGUUAAAAAACAAGCUACUUCUGAGAGGCUGCAGUACAUCAGCGAGCUGAGAGUGCAACUGGAAGGCAAGGGGUGAAAGAUCAUCAUCCAUCAAACUGUUUACAAAAUUAGAAUAAGUUAUUAGAGAUCUCAGUGUAAAAGCCACAUUUAACUAAUCCUGUUUAGAUUUCGAUAAAUGUCAUAGUUUUUUCCUGUUUUGCAUAUCGUCAAUGUAGAGAAAUUAAUGCAGAGCACCCCUGAGCUGCCUUCAAGACUAUCGAUCCCUCACUGGAUUCUGAAACUCUGGACUGGAAUAUCAGUGUAGUUUUUCAGACAAAGCAGUGUGAAUUACAAGCUCUAGCUUUGAACACAGAAGUUGUGCUACAGCGUCUCUCUGUGGCUAAUGUAAAAAGGGCAGGGCCAAAGCGAUGACCAUUUGUUACAAGCACAUUUCCUAUCUUUUUAUAUAGCACACUACUACACAUAUAAACCAACCACAGCACUAGGGUAUAGAAACACCUCUGUAUUCAUAGUUUGCAUAUUGUUAUGUAAUUAGAUAAAUCACAUAUCAAGAAUGAAACAGUAAUAAAAUAACUUUAAAAAUAUAAUUUGAAUAGCCUCUGUAUGCUGCUUUAACAUGUUUUUGCUUAAAAAGAAAAGUAACCGCCAUGCUUGUUAUAUUGAUCUUUUACAUCUAAAUCAACAAAGCUCUAUUAA